AAGAUUGACGAUUGGUAAGAAUCCACAACAAGUUGUUCUUCAUAGAUGUAUCUGAGGGUCUGUAGCUCAGUUGGUUAGAGCACACGCUUGAUAAGCGUGGGGUCACAAGUUCAAGUCUUGUCAGACCCACCAUGACUUUGACUGGUUAAAGUUAUAGAUAAAAGAUACAUGACUGAUGAUGUAAGCUGGGGACUUAGCUUAGUUGGUAGAGCGCCUGCUUUGCACGCAGGAGGUCAGGAGUUCGACUCUCCUAGUCUCCACCAGAACUUAAGAGAAGUUCGGAUUACAGAAAUUAGUAAAUAGAGAUUUAGAUCUUGGUUUAUUAACUUCUGUGAUUUAAGUAUCACGGUAUUAAGCAUGACCUGACGAAGGCGUGUUUAUUCAUUAACAGAUUGGCAAAAUUGAGUCUGAAAUAAAUUGUUCACUCAAGAGUUUAGAUUAAGCAAUUAAUCUAGAUGAAUUGAGAACUAGCAAAUUAACUGAAUCAAGCGUUUUGGUAUAUGAAUUUAGAUUGAAGCUGUACAGUGUUUAAGUACACAGACAACAGAUAGUAGCGAUGAAGAAUCGCACGGACAACACUCACUUGUAGGUGUUGACGACUGUUUGGGGUUGUAU
rnacentral:tRNA from 1 species